UAGUCCACGCCGUAAACGAUGUCUACUAGCCGUAGGGUUCCUUGAGGACUUUGUGGCGCAGCUAACGCGCUAAGUAGACCGCCUGGGGAGUACGGCCGCAAGGUUAAAACUCAAAUGAAUUGACGGGGCCCGCACAAGCGGUGGAGCAUGUGGUUUAAUUCGAUGCAACGCGAAGAACCUUACCAGGACUUGACAUCCUUAUCGCGCGCACCAGAGAUGGAGCGUUUCAGUUCGGCUGGAUAAGUGACAGGUGCUGCACGGCUGUCGUCAGCUCGUGUCGUGAGAUGUUGGGUUAAGUCCCGCAACGAGCGCAACCCCUAUCCUUAGUUGCCAACACGUAAUGGUGGGAACUCUAAGGAAACCGCCGGCGUUAAGCCGGAGGAAGGUGGGGACGACGUCAAGUCAUCAUGGGCCCUUAUGUCCUGGGGCCACACACGUGCUACAAUGGCAGGGUACAGAGAGCAGCCACGUCGCAAGGGCGGGAGCGGAAUCUAUAAACCUGU
rnacentral:rRNA from 1 species